rnacentral:rRNA from 1 species
GAUGAACGCUGACAGAAUGCUUAACACAUGCAAGUCGAUGGGGAAGUGGUGCUUGCACCAUGGUAACCAUGGCGGACGGGUGAGUAACGCGUAAGGAACUUGCCUGCGGGACUGGGAUAACAGCAGGAAACUGCUGAUAAUACCGGAUAAGGUCAUUAAGCUGCAUAGCUUAGUGAUGAAAGGAGACGCCUGCGGAGAGCCUUGCGUCCUAUUAGCUAGUUGGAGGGGUAACGGCCCACCAAGGCGAAGGUAGGUAGCCGGCCUGAGAGGGUGGACGGCCACAAGGGGACUGAGAUACGGCCCUUACUCCUACGGGAGGCAGCAGUGGGGAAUAUUGGACAAUGGGGGCAACCCUGAUCCAGCAAUUCUGUGUGCACGAAGACGGUUUUCGGAUUGUAAAGUGCUUUCAGCAGGGAAGAAGGAAGUGACGGUACCUGCAGAAGAAGCGACGGCUAAAUACGUG